rnacentral:rRNA from 1 species
AGUGAACGCUGGCGGUAGGCCUAACACAUGCAAGUCGAACGGCAGCACAGUAAGAGCUUGCUCUUACGGGUGGCGAGUGGCGGACGGGUGAGGAAUACAUCGGAAUCUACUUUUUCGUGGGGGAUAACGUAGGGAACCUUACGCUAAUACCGCAUACGACCUACGGGUGAAAGCAGGGGAUCUUCGGACCUUGCGCGAUUGAAUGAGCCGAUGUCGGAUUAGCUAGUUGGCGGGGUAAAGGUCCACCAAGGCGACGAUCCGUAGCUGGUCUGAGAGGAUGAUCAGCCACACUGGAACUGAGACACGGUCCAGACUCCUACGGGAGGCAGCAGUGGGGAAUAUUGGACAAUGGGCGCAAGCCUGAUCCAGCCAUACCGCGUGGGUGAAGAAGGCCUUCGGGUUGUAAAGCCCUUUUGUUGGGAAAGAAAAGCAGCAGGUUAAUACCCCGCUGUUCUGACGGUACCCAAAGAAUAAGCACCGGCUAACUUCGUG